ACACGGAUAACUGUGGCAAAUCUAGAGCUAAUACGUGCGUAAAUGCGUUUCCUCACGGGAGCGCAGUAUUUAUUAGUUGUAAAACCGACUCUGUGGCAACACAGGUUUGUGGUGAAUCAUAAUAAUUGCAGCGAACCGCAUGUCUCACGACGGCGGUGAACCGUUCAAGUUUCUGCCCUAUUAGCUUUAGAUGGUGGUGUAUUGGACUACCAUGGCAGUGAUGGGUGACGGAGAAUUAGGGUUCGAUUCCGGAGAAGGAGCCUUAGAGACGGCUCCUACAUCCAAGGAAGGCAGCAGUGGCGAAACGUACCUAAUCCUGAUUCAGGGAGGUCGUGACGAUGUAUAUUAAUGCGUUGUUUUUUAAAUAAUGCUAUUGAAAUGAGUACAAUUCAAAACUUUUAACAAGGAUCAAUUGGAGGGCAAGUCUGGUGCCAGCAGCCGCGGUAAUUCCAGCUCCAAUAAGGUAUAUUAAAGUUGUUGCAGUUAAAAAGCUCGUAGUUGAAUUUCUGGGGGUUGUUUGAGUGUCUUGGUUGUCGAAAGGCAGUCUUGAUGCUCACGCCUUCAUCUUUCGAUGGAAUUUUCAUGAUCGCAAGGUUGUGGGAGGAAAGUCGUUCCUUCACUGUGAACAAAUUGGAGUGUUCAAAGCAGGCUUACGCUGUGAACAUUUAAGCAUGGAAUGAUAAAUUAUGACGUUUGUCUUAUUUGUCGGUUUUUUGACGAAUGUAAUGUUUAACAGAAACAGGGGGGGGUAUUGGUAUUUGAUUGUCAGAGGUGAAAUUCUUGGAUUUAUUAAAGACCCACUGCUGCGAAAGCAUCUAUCAACGAUGUUUUCAUUAAUCAAGAUCGAAAGUUUGGGGAUCGAAGAUGAUUAGAUACCAUCGUAGUCCGAACUAUAAACGAUUCCGACUCGGGAUCCUAGGAUGUCUUUUAUGACUUCUGGGGCACCGUAUGAGAAAUCAAAGUCUUUGGGUUCCGGGGGGAGUAUGGUCGCAAGGCUGAAACUUAAAGGAAUUGACGGAAGGGCACACCAGAAGUGGAGCCUGCGGCUUAAUUUGACCCAACACGGGGAAACUCACCAGGUCCAGACAUAAUGAGGAUUGACAGUUUGAAAGCACUUUCUUGAUUCUAUGGGUGGUGGUGCAUGGCCGUUCUUAGUUGGUGGAGUGAUUUGUCUGGUUGAUUCCGAUAACGAACGAGACCCGGGCUCUAAAAUAGCGAGGCGAUUCUCACGAAUUGCUAUUGCUUCUUUAGAGGACAACUCAGGUUUACUGAGGGGAAGCGCCGGUCAAUAACAGGUCUGUGAUGCCCUUAGAUGUUCUGGGCUGCACGCGCGCUACAAUGAUUGUAUCAACGGGUUUUUUCCUCGCCAGAGAUGGCUUGGGUAAUCCUUUAAAUUGCAAUCGUGAUGGGGCUCGAUGCUUGUAAUUAUUCAUCGUCAACGAGGAAUUUCUAGUAUGUGUAGUUCAUCAGACUACGCAGAAUGCGUCCCUGCCCUUUGUACACACCGCCCGUCGCAGCUACCGAUUGGAUGGUCCGAUGAAAUCUCUGGAGGCUAUGAUUUUCGGCGCAAGUCGUGGUCAUGCCGAAGUUGCUUGAAUCUUAUCAUCUAGAGGAAGCUGAAGUCGUAACAAGGUU
rnacentral:rRNA from 1 species